AUAACCUUUAAAUUUGAUCCAGAGAGGUCAAUAAGGAAGUUAUAUAGUUGAAUUAUAAUCGUAAAAGAUUUAUUUAUACGUGAAAAGUCUUCCUUAUCUUAGGAAGACUUUUUUUAAU
rfam:Clostridium perfringens str. 13 DNA, complete genome.